AUUGAACGCUGGCGGCAUGCCUUACACAUGCAAGUCGAACGGUAACAGGUCUUCGGAUGCUGACGAGUGGCGAACGGGUGAGUAAUACAUCGGAACGUGCCUAGUAGUGGGGGAUAACUACUCGAAAGAGUGGCUAAUACCGCAUGAGAUCUACGGAUGAAAGCAGGGGAUCGCAAGACCUUGUGCUACUAGAGCGGCCGAUGGCAGAUUAGGUAGUUGGUGGGAUAAAAGCUUACCAAGCCGACGAUCUGUAGCUGGUCUGAGAGGACGAUCAGCCACACUGGGACUGAGACACGGUCCAGACUCCUACGGGAGGCAGCAGUGGGGAAUAUUGGACAAUGGGCGAAAGCCUGAUCCAGCCAUGCCGCGUGUGUGAAGAAGGCCUUCGGGUUGUAAAGCACUUUUGGCAGGAAAGAAAUCGCACGGGAUAACACCCCGUGUGGAUGACGGUACCUGCAGAAUAAGCACCGGCUAACUACGUGCCAGCAGCCGCCGUAAAAC
rnacentral:rRNA from 1 species